rfam:Chlorocebus sabaeus isolate 1994-021 chromosome 6, whole genome shotgun sequence.
CACAAUGUUAUACUGGAGAGCAGGAAGAGCUGUGUUGGGUAUAAGUAAUAGACUUUUCCUUUUCUUCCAUGUGGCUCUUUGCA